AUGCUGUGAUGACAUUUUCAAUAGUGGUUUCUGUUCACUGACGGGUGAAUGAGGACAGAUAAUUCCUUGGCUGUGUCUGAGCAU